GAUGAAGAACGCAGCGAAAUGCGAUAAGUAAUGUGAAUUGCAGAAUUCAGUGAAUCAUCGAAUCUUUGAACGCACAUUGCGCCCGCCAGUAUUCUGGCGGGCAUGCCUGUCUGAGCGUCAUUUCAACCCUCAUGCCCCUAGGGCGUGGUGUUGGGGAUCGGCCAAAGCCCGCGAGGGACGGCCGGCCCCUAAAUCUAGUGGCGGACCCGUCGUGGCCUCCUCUGCGAAGUAGUGAUAUUCCGCAUCGGAGAGCGAUGAGCCCCUGCCGUUAAACCCCCAACUUUCCAAGGUUGACCUCAGAUCAGGUAUGAAUACCCGCUGAACUUAAGCAUAUCAAUAAGCGGAGGA
rnacentral:misc_RNA from 1 species